CAGUAGCCACGGGAAUACGAAGGGUGCAAGCGUUAAUCGGAAUUACUGGGCGUAAGCGUGCGUAGGCGGUGAGUUAAGUCUGCUGUGAAAUCCCCGGGCUCAACCUGGGAAUGGCAGUGGAUACUGGCUCGCUAGAGUGUGUCAGAGGAUGGUGGAAUUCCCGGUGUAGCGGUGAAAUGCGUAGAGAUCGGAAGGAACAUCUGUGGCGAAGGCGACUAUCUGGGCCAACACUGACACUGAGGCACGAAAGCGUGGGGAGCAAACAGGAUUAGAUACCCGUGUAGUCCCUGUCUCUUAUACA
rnacentral:rRNA from 1 species